AACGAACGUUGGCGGCGUGGAUUAGGCAUGCAAGUCGUACGGGAUCCGGGGGUAACUCCGGAUUGAGUGGCGAACGGGUGAGUAACGCGUGGGAAACCUGCCCUCGAGUGGGGGAUAACACUUCCAACGGGGUGCUAAUACCGCAUAAGACCACGGGGCCGCAUGGCCCUGAGGUCAAAGGUGGCCUCUACUUGUAAGCUACCGCUUGAGGAGGGUCCCGCGUCCCAUUAGCUAGUUGGUGGGGUAAGAGCCCACCAAGGCUACGAUGGGUAGCUGGUCUGAGAGGAUGGUCAGCCACACUGGGACUGAGAUACGGCCCAGACUCCUACGGGAGGCAG
rnacentral:rRNA from 1 species